CUUUCAGCAAGUGGUUCCAGGACUUUUAGUUCUGUAUCUUUGAUUAUUAGCUUCCAGAGAUGCUAAUUCUUUUUUCUUAUUACUUUUGAUAAGAGCCUAAAUAAAUGUGUGUUGGAAGACUGCCUCUGUUGGCCAAGCAGCUCCUCCUACUUUUGUUGUUUUUCCUCUGAACCUGCUCCAUGUUGACUGGGAAAGGACUUUCAAUAAACUACCUUCAAGAUACCUACCUGUUUUCCAGUUAGGUUGGGAAAAGGAUUUAUUAAAAAUCUUUCACAUAUGGAUGUUGCGGAGCAGCAUGUUUAGAGAUGUCUACAUCAUCUGCAAGGCUAAAGCUUAACAACAAAUUUGAAAAGGAUUUAAGCAGGAGAUUUUUUCAAGUCCCCCUGAGAGAAUGUGAAGCAUUUGCAGUUGAAGAUCUAAGCGAAUCUGGUUUUGUUAACCAAAGUGGAUGCCAUCAAUUCACGUAUUGGCACAAGCAUAUGGAAUGUGUUCCAAAGUAUCACAGUGAAACAUGAGAGUCAACCAAAAACUGGGUUUUCCUGUUUUUAACAUCUUGACUGAUAAAUUAUUCCUCUCAAUUGGGAACUUGAAGAAGAUAGAGAUAUUUCGAUACUCUCAACAACGGAACAGAUCCUGCAUUUUUCAGAUGAUUGUUUAGAGGAUUUACAGCUUUCUGAUGAAAAUUAGCUUCUUGGGUUUUGCCCUUAAGUUUUAUAAAGGUUGCUCUCAUUGCUAUAGUCAUUCA